AUAUGUUCGAAGAACGUUCUUAGAACGUUCUCAUCUUGCAUAACCAAAAGAGAACCAUAAGGGAACGUUACGUUAACGUUAGGUGUUACCUGGGGAUUUGUAUUGAACCAAACUGAUAGAAAAUUGUGGUCAAGCACCUCUCUGCCGCCUGCUGUCCAGGAGCAGAGCUACUCUGCUUCCUGGGUGCUCUUCACGGUCGACCUGACGCACGUCCUUUCUUCUUAGCCUUCUGUGUGUGCCUUCCUGCACCUUCACCCGUCGUCAGAACAGAGUUCAGAACCUGGCCAAACUCGUUGCCGAUGUUUGUGAUCCAUGCAGCACUGUCCCCGAUCCCACCAGCCAGCUUCUUGGUGAUCUGUAAAACAAACACUACAAACUGAAGUCAUUGCCCCACUAAGAAAUGGCUGAGGAUGUUGUUGGAGUGGACCGUCUCGAACCACUGGGCAAGUGGAAGGGGUCUGAAGGGUGGUGGAGGAAGAUGGACAGCUGCAGAGGGGACGAAGACUGGAGGUAGGAGGAACUGUUACCGGGGACGGCGUGGCGCAGUUGGGAGAGUGGCCGUGCCAGCAACCUGAGGGUUCCUGGUUCAAUCCCCACCUUCUACCAACUUCGUCACGUUCGUUGUGUCCUUGAGCAAGACACUUCACCCUUGCUCCUGAUGGGUCAUGGUUAGGGCCUUGCAUGGCAGCUCCCUCCAUCAGUGUGUGAAUGUGUGUGUGAAUGGGUGAAUGUGGAAAUAGUGUCAAAGUGCUUUGAGUACCUUGAAGGUAGAAAAGCGCUAUACAAGUAUAAUCAAUUUACCACUGGUCCCCGGCUUCAGGAAAGACAUACAUUUUCUGUCCAGAGCCAGCUGUGUUGUGAGGACAGCGGGGAACAGGCUCCUGUGUGCCACAUCCAGCUGGGAGAAAAUAUCCUGGCUCCAUGUGCAGACCACCUGAGAGCACUUGCUGCAACGUGGAUAGUCCCAUCCUACUAGAUAAUAGCGGCUAUCCACAUCGAUCACCUCCCUGACCUUCCUGUAGAUGCCGGAGCUGUUCAUUUUACGGGAACACUGCAGGCAUUUAAGAGGAAUCCCCCACAUCCGCAUUGGUGCCCAGAGGAACAUCCUCUGCUGGUAGUACCACCCAGGCUGAGGAGGAGAUGGUUUGGCUUCCAAUGGGGGGUGAAACCAGCAUGCUUUGCUUUUUUGUUUAAGCUGGCCCGUAGGCUCAUAGAGGCACUUAGCAAUCCACACCUAAUCGGCUUCCUGGAUUACUUUGCGAAAUUGUUCAGGAAGAAAACCUUGCCAAUUAAUUGAAGACGAUUUAAGUGGAGUUUCAGUGUGCUGUGGUGUGGCAGAGCUGGCUGAAGAAGGGAGCAGAGAUGGUGUUGGCUUUGGUGGUGGUAGUGUUGGCCUUUGCGGUAAUGGUGUUGGUUUCCGCGGUAAUGGCUCCAUGAAUUCUGAAUAGUGAACCAGUUGGAGGUGGUUCAAAAAACCAACAGUACCCUGCACCUUUGCACUACAGGUGUCACACAUCUCCUCUGUAUGGUGGUCAGAGAGGUGCUCAGAGAAAUGUUUUCCCUCUACAAGCUUGUUGCACUGGUAGCACUGCACUCCCUGUCCUGCCACUGAUGCUCCUGACUCGGUGUCUCCUCUCGUCUCUGUGACUCCUCUCCCUGACUCUGGGUUGUUUCGGACUUCCCCUGCCUCCUUGUCUCCACUCCUUGUCUCUGUGUCUCCUCUCCCUACCUCGGACUUGCCCUGCCUCUGUCUCAACUUCUCCUGCCUUACUGGAGCCAGCGGGUGAUGACAGAUCUGCUGGCUGGCUAGCAAAUAAUUAGUAAGUAAUUAGUAAAUAAUAUAUAAGUUAGGCGAUACCUUAUGGAACCCACAGGAGCACAGAAGGUUUCUCCCAAAUAGAUCCUUCGUGUGGCUCUGCAAGGGACAAGCAUCUAUAUUCCCCAGGGCCUUUUUCCACUUCUUGGCCCCUGGACGUUUGCCAGUUGAGAAGUGGUAUUGGCCUCAGGCAUAUUUUAUACAGAUGUGCCUCCAGUAAGUGUCUGGUUUCCCUGUCUUAGUCAUCUACAAACAUUAAAUAUAAAGUAGGUUAAAGUAUGCAUGUAUGAAGGCAUGUUUUGCAUUAUUGUUGUGAAGCACUUUGUAAAUGUAUGUUUUAAAAGGUGCUAUGUAAAUAAAGUAAUAAUAAUAAUUAUUAUUACUAUCAUUAGUAGUAGUAAUAUGGCACAGACAGAUGUAAAAAUAAUAUUCCGCUGAUGAAAAAUUAAACUUGGCACAAUUAUCCAUCCAUCCAUCCAUUUUCUACCGCUAAUUCCCUUCGGGGUCGCGGGGGGCGCUGGAGCCUAUCUCAGCUACAAUCGGGCGGAAGGCGGGGUACACCCUGGACAAGUCGCCAUCUCAUCACAGGGCCAACACAGAUAGACAGACAACAUUCACACUCACAUUCACACACUAGGGCCAAUUUAGUGUUGCCAAUCAACCUAUCCCCAGGUGCAUGUCUUUGGAAGUGGGAGGAAGCCGGAGUACCCGGGAACCCACGCAGUCACGGGGAGGACAUGCAAACUCCACACAGAAAGAUCCCGAGCCCGGGAUUGAACCCAAGGCUACUCAGACCUUUGUAUUGUGAGGCAGACGCACUAACCCCUGUGCCACCGUGAUGCCUUGGCACAAUUAAGCAUGUUUAAAACACCUGGACACAUCUGUCUGCUCUGCUCAAACACAUAACCAAUUUCCAUUACAGGAGCAGGAGAAAACACCAGACCGCCGAUAAAUUACUAUUCCACUGACGGACAAUGAAACUUGGGACAAUUAUUUCACAUCUUAUGGUUUUUCCCGAGAAAUCGGCAGAGUUUGUACGGCAAAUUAACAAAUACAUAGGUUACUAUUGGUCUUCUGAUUCUGCUAUAUCACCAAUAUCCCCACCAUCGCCACACUGCUAGACUAUGUACAUCAACGCCAUUACAUGCAGAAGGUCCAUUAGCAAAACGACGACGUUACAUGAAAGUUGAAAUACAAGUUGUAUUAUGUGCUAAUGGGAUGGGAAAUCAUAUCGUGUAGUGUUUUGUCACACUGUUGAGCAUUCGGCUUAUAGAUGGCGUUGCAUUAAUGAGUAUCAAAUCAAAUUUACCAACCUUUUCUGUGUUCUUGUGUUCGCUGUUAUGCGGUGAAAAACAUAAAAGCGAUAAGCCCGCCCCCUCCUACGUCACGUGUCAUUGUUGGGACUUGUUCGGAACUAUGUUCGGACCUUCUUUGAAACUCUUUGAUCUCAUUAGGAACUGUUCAGAUCUGUUCGGACCUUCUUUGAAACUCUUUGAUCUCGUUAGGAACUGUUCAGAUCUGUUCGGACCUUGUUUGAAACUCUUUGAUCUCUCUUUGGAUCUGUUACAAUGUGUUAGGAUGUGUUAGGACUUCAGAGGCAUGAAUAAAAGUUUUUAUUUAACAUGUGUCGCUCCUUUUACAAUUUUGUUUACUUCCAUUGAUUGUGACGAUGCUGACUUUAUUCUUCUGAUUGGUCAAAUGUUUUAACAAGCUCUGUCCUGAUUGGUCGCUUUAC